UACGUAGGGGGCAAGCGUUGUCCGGAAUCAUUGGGCGUAAAGCGCGUGUAGGCGGUUCGAUAAGUCUGCUGUGAAAGUCCAGGGCUCAACCCUGGGAUGCCGGUGGAUACUGUCGGGCUAGAGGGUGGUAGAGGCGAGUGGAAUUCCCGGUGUAGCGGUGAAAUGCGCAGAUAUCAGGAAGAACACCCGUGGCGAAGGCGGCUCUCUGGGACGGUACUGACGCUGAGACGCGAAAGCGUGGGGAGCGAACAGG
rnacentral:rRNA from 1 species